rnacentral:rRNA from 1 species
UACGGAGGGGACUAGCGUUGUUCGGAAUUACUGGGCGUAAAGCGCACGUAGGCGGAUUUGUAAGUCAGGGGUGAAAUCCCGGGGCUCAACCUCGGAACUGCCUUUGAUACUGCAAAUCUCGAGUCCGGAAGAGGUGAGUGGAAUUCCUAGUGUAGAGGUGAAAUUCGUAGAUAUUAGGAAGAACACCAGUGGCGAAGGCGGACUCACUGGUCCGGUACUGGACGCUGAGGUGCGAAAGCGUGGGGAGCAACAGG